rnacentral:rRNA from 1 species
UACAGAGGUCCCAAGCGUUGUUCGGAUUCACUGGGCGUAAAGGGUGCGUAGGUGGUGGGGUAAGUCGGAUGUGAAAGCUCGGAGCUCAGCUCCGAAAUGGCAUUGGAAACUACCCUGCUAGAGGAUUGGAGGGGGGACUGGAAUACUUGGUGUAGCAGUGAAAUGCGUAGAUAUCAAGUGGAACACCAGUGGCGAAGGCGAGUCCCUGGACAAUACCUGACACUGAGGCACGAAAGCUAGGGGAGCAAACAGG